UACAUCAUUAUUUGCAAGUCGCUUUGUAUAAAAGCGUCUGCUAAAUGUAAUGUA
rfam:Astyanax mexicanus chromosome 5, whole genome shotgun sequence.